rnacentral:rRNA from 1 species
AGAGUUUGAUCCUGGCUCAGGAUGAACGCUGGCGGUAUGCUUAACACAUGCAAGUCGAACGGACUCUUCGGAGUUAGUGGCGGACGGGUGAGUAACGCGUGAGAAUCUGGCUUCAGGUUCGGGACAACAGUUGGAAACGGCUGCUAAUACCGGAUGUGCCUUAUGGUGAAAGAUUUAUCACCUGAAGAUGAGCUCGCGUCUGAUUAGCUAGUAGGUGUGGUAAGAGCGCACCUAGGCGACGAUCAGUAGCUGGUCUGAGAGGAUGAUCAGCCACACUGGGACUGAGACACGGCCCAGACUCCUACGGGAGGCAGCAGUGGGGAAUUUUCCGCAAUGGGCGAAAGCCUGACGGAGCAAUACCGCGUGAGGGAGGAAGGCUCUUGGGUUGUAAACCUCUUUUCUCAGGGAAGAAUGAUGACGGUACCUGAGGAAUAAGCAUCGGCUAACUCCGUGCCAGCAGCCGCGGUAAUACAGAGGGGGCAAGCGUUGUCCGGACUUACUGGGCGUACAGCGCGCGCAGGCGGUUCCAUAUGUGCCUGGUGACAUCGUGCCGCUCAACGGCACGCGGCCCGGGUAGACAGUGGAGCUGGAGGCAGGGAGAGGGAUGUGGAAUACCCGGUGGAGCGGUGAAAUACGUAGAGAUCGGGUGGAACACCAGCGGCGAAGGCGGCAUCCUGGCCCUGAACUGACGCUGAGGCGCGAUAGCGUGGGGAGCAAACGGGAUUAGAUACCCCCGUAGUCC